rnacentral:lncRNA from 1 species
AGAGAGGCUUGCAGGUCCAAACCACUGGUAGCAGCCCCUGGUAUAUCCAGGACAUCAGCACAUAGAACCAGUGAAAGGGUCCUCCCUCAUAGUGACGCAUGUCAUAGACUCAGAUUUAUACAAACAAAUGCUGAGCAAACCAUGAAGAGUCUCUGGUAUUUUCAACAAUAUCAUCACAGAGGAACUGUAUUGAUUUCCUUCCUUCAGUGGUCCAAGAACCUGCUGCUCCCGGGUCCUCUCAUUUGAAGACACCCACCGCCUAAGGAUGAAGAGAAGCUCCUUCUUGCAGAUCUGAGGCUGAUUUCCCAACUCCCAGGAACACCCUACCCACAGCCUGUUCCCCAGACCCAGAUGGGGUUUGCAGGAGCAAUGGCUGUAGGGACACUAAGAUUUCACCCUCCAGAAGACAGCAUCUUCCUGUGCCAUGGCUAGAUCACCAGCUACCCACAGACAGCCUGAACUCCAAUUGUCUUCCUGCACAUGUGCCUUUAAAGGAACUUUUCAAAUGUAGAGGAGCCUUUAGAAGGAAGCCUUGAGCAUGAGGACAGACCCCCCUCAUCCAACCACCACCUGACUCUGUGUGAACCUGGAACUGUUAGAAUGUCUGUGCUGUGAUAAAAGGUCAUCUCCCUACAAUGUUAUGAUACAGACCUCAAACCUACAAACAUGAGGAACUUCUGCCUCCAGGUUAACUGCUUACCCACUGUACAAGACACGUUACACACAGUCCAGGAGGCGGAGCUUCUGAGAUAUCUAGAAACAGCUUAGAGGCAAAAUGACAAAAUAAAGCAGCAACAACAAAUAAAACCAAUCUUCUCGAACUGGCUCUCGCUUUGGUCUAACUAGUUAUGCACUACUUGGAUAACUAUAUC